UAGGAAGUUUUUGCAAUAACGUGAAUCCCGAUACGGUGAACGCUAAAGUCACGUUAUCCUUUUCUUAAUUAAGUUGAAAACACAAUCAA